rnacentral:rRNA from 1 species
UACAGAGGGUGCAAGCGUUAAUCGGAAUUACUGGGCGUAAAGCGUGCGUAGACGGUUAUGUAAGUCAGAUGUGAAAGCCCAGGGCUCAACCUUGGAAUUGCAUUUGAGACUGCAUAGCUAGGGUGCGGAAGAGGGAAGCGGAAUUCCAGGUGUAGCGGUGAAAUGCGUAGAUAUCUGGAGGAACACCGGUGGCGAAGGCGGCAUCCUGGACCGACACUGACGCUGAGGAGCGAAAGCCAGGGGAGCAAACGGGG